AAAAAAAGACAAAUCAUUAAUGAUCACCUCUCUUUUUGUCUAAUCUUACAAAUAAACUUCAAAACAAAUAUACCAAACCAAUAAACUCAACUAAAACUCAACGACACAUACAUUGAGCCAGCUAAACAAAUACAAACUACAGGGCCAGCUAUUUAACAAUUUACAAACUUACUUUCGCAGAUGCUUACGUAAACGACAACCAAAACCAGUGAAAUUACAUAAACAAAAAAACAGAGUAGGUUACAAACUUUGAUAAAUACAACUAGCAAUGAUUUUUGUUUACAUAUUACCCAUCAAAAAAAUAGAAAUAAACACAGCCACCAACAGAUACAAGAGACAAUCCCAACAGAUACAAAAGCGACAACAACAUCUCCACCUGCUCACUCCUCUUGUCUUAUGAAAAUAGCUUACAUGCUCAAUGUCAACAGGUCAAUGCUAUUGUCUUCUUAUGAGAAAUAUAUAUAUUCAUUUUAAGGCCCAAAUACUAAUUGUCACUCAUUUAAUAGUUAUCUCUACAAGUCUUCAUGUAUUUGUUUUAAAGGUCCGGUAAAAAAACAAGUUUAAAAAUAAAAAUAAAAAAUAUAACCAGCAUAAUAAGAAUAAAAAAAAUUAUUAUUUAAUACACACAACUUAAAAAACUAAAUUGGAAAAAAAAUAUCCAGAAACAAAAGGUACUCUCAACAUCCUUAAUAUAAUUUAUGUAAUCUCAACAGUACAAGUAAGAAAUUAAAAAGACAAACAAACAAUAAGUCUCAGUGACAC
rnacentral:lncRNA from 1 species